AGGACAUUAAAAAAAUAAUUGCAAACAAAAACAAUUAUACACGGGGGUUUAUUUUAUCCAUUGUAAUCUUUUUAAGAACGAGAGGUCCCGUUCA
rnacentral:sRNA from 17 species